AUUGAACGCUGGCGGCAUGCCUUACACAUGCAAGUCGAACGGUAACAGGUCUUCGGAUGCUGACGAGUGGCGAACGGGUGAGUAAUACAUCGGAACGUGCCCGAUCGUGGGGGAUAACGAAGCGAAAGCUUUGCUAAUACCGCAUAAGAUCUACGGAUGAAAGCAGGGGACCGCAAGGCCUUGCGCGAACGGAGCGGCCGAUGGCAGAUUAGGUAGUUGGUGGGAUAAAAGCUUACCAAGCCGACGAUCUGUAGCUGGUCUGAGAGGACGACCAGCCACACUGGGACUGAGACACGGCCCAGACUCCUACGGGAGGCAGCAGUGGGGAAUUUUGGACAAUGGGCGCAAGCCUGAUCCAGCAAUGCCGCGUGCAGGAAGAAGGCCUUCGGGUUGUAAACUGCUUUUGUACGGAACGAAAAGCCCUGGGUUAAUACCCUGGGGUCAUGACGGUACCGUAAGAAUAAGCACCGGCUAACUACGUGCCAGCAGCCGCCGUAACAC
rnacentral:rRNA from 1 species